AUUAUCCUUGAGGUAAAUGAGUUGGGUGGAAAAACGACAAAGCCCCUAUCUUCCUAUGUGUCCAAUGGAAACAUUAGCUUCAAAAAUAUGCAAUGAGUGUCAGCAAUAAUAGAAUACUAAAUAAUAGUUAAGUAUGUGAUUUUGCUAAUAUUAAAGCUCUUACAUAGACUCCGCUUUAAAACAUGAUGAAUUAUGAUUGUCUUAAUGACUAAGAACAUACUCCCUCCGUCCGGUGAAGAGUGUACAUUUGGGUUAAAAUUUUGUCCACAAAAGAUUGUACUUUUAUCUUACCAAUACACUUUAAAGUGGGGGGAAAUGUUUCUCUCCCAUCUUGUGGUAAUCAAGAUCAAUAAUAUUUUACACAUGGUCUCCUAAAUUUCUACAUUCACUUAGCUCAUUGGGUGUUUGGUAAUUAAAGAUUAGAGAGAUGAUGGCUUGCAUCUUUCCAAUGCAUUUUUUACUUCACUCCAUAAUUUUCCUAAAUUUUCUAUAUGCACACUUUUCAUCGGAUGGAGGGAAUAGUUUGUUGAUUCUCAAUAAAGUUUAUGCUUCACACUUUAAUAAUUGUGGAUGCAUUGUUACUUGUUUAUGACAAUAUAUAUGAUGAAAAACUUGUUGGUAUGUUAAUAUCCAUGAUGCUCUCAUGUUUGCAUUUUGUUUUUAUCGAUACCUCUGUCUCAAAUUAUGUGGAUAUUAUUUUUGACUUCGGCUUUCGCUUGAGGACAAGAGAGGUCUAAGAUUGG
rnacentral:lncRNA from 1 species